rnacentral:rRNA from 1 species
CCUACGGGAGGCAGCAGUGGGGAAUAUUGCACAAUGGUGGGAACUCUGAUGCAGCAACGCCGCGUGAGUGAAGAAGUAUUUCGUUAUGUAAAGCUCUAUCAGCAGGGAAGAGAAUGACGGUACCUGACUAAGAAGCUCCGGCUAACUACGUGCCAGCAGCCGCGGUAAUACGUAGGGGGCGAGCGUUAUCCGGAUUUACUGGGUGUAAAGGGAGAGUAGGUGGCACAGCAAGUCUGAAGUGAAAGCCCAAAGCUUAACCACGGGAAGGCGUUAGAAACUGUGGAGCUGGAGUGCAGGAGAGGCAAGUGGAAUUCCUAGUGUAGCGGUGAAAUGCGUAGAUAUUAGGAGGAACACCAGUGGCGAAGGCGGCUUGCUGGACUGUAACUGACAUUGAGGCUCGAAAGCGUGGGGAGCAAACAGGAUUAGAUACCCUGGUAGUC